rnacentral:rRNA from 1 species
GAGUUUGAUCGUGGCUCAGGAUGAACGCUAGCGGCAGGCCUAAUACAUGCAAGUCGAGGGGCAGCGCGGGUAGCAAUACCUGGCGGCGACCGGCGCACGGGUGCGUAACACGUAUACAAUCUGCCUUUAACAGGGGGAUAGCCCGGAGAAAUCCGGAUUAAUACCCCAUAAUAUAUUGAGUGGCAUCACUUGAUAUUGAAAGCUCCGGCGGUUAGAGAUGAGUAUGCGCCUGAUUAGUUAGUUGGUGAGGUAACGGCUCACCAAGACUUCGAUCAGUAGGGGAUCUGAGAGGACUACCCCCCACACGGA